rnacentral:rRNA from 1 species
CAGCAGCCGCGGUAAUACCGGCGGCCCGAGUGGCGGUCACUAUUAUUGGGCUUAAAGCGUCCGUAGCCGGGGUGGGAAGUCCUCCGGGAAAUCUGGCCGCUUAACGGUCAGAAUGCCGGAGGAUACUCCCAGCCUAGGGAGCGGGAGAGGCCGAGGGUAUUCCCGGAGUAGGGGUGAAAUCCUAUAAUCCCGGGAGGACCACCUGUGGCGAAGGCGCUCGGCUGGAACGCGUCCGACGGUGAGGGACGAAGGCCAGGGGAGCAAACCGGAUUAGAUACCCGGGUAGUCCUGGCUGUAAACGAUGCGGACUUUGUGUCGGACAAGCUAUGAGCUUGUCCGGUGCCGGAGGGAAACCGUUAAGUCCGCCGCCUGGGGAGUACGGCCGCAAGGCUGAAACUUAAAGGAAUUGGCGGG